rnacentral:rRNA from 1 species
CAGCCGCCGCGGUAAUACGAAGGGUGCAAGCGUUACUCGGAAUUACUGGGCGUAAAGCGUGCGUAGGUGGUGGUUUAAGUCCGUUGUGAGAGCCCUGGGCUCAACCUGGGAAUUGCAGUGGAUACUGGGUCACUAGAGUGUGGUAGAGGAUAGUGGAAUUUCCGGUGUAGCAGUGAAAUGCGUAGAGAUCGGAAGGAACAUCUGUGGCGAAGGCGACUAUCUGGGCCAACACUGACACUGAGGCACGAAAGCGUGGGGAGCAAACAGGAUUAGAUACCCCUGUAGUCCCUGUCUCUUAUAC